GAUGAACGCUGGCGGCGUGCCUAAUACAUGCAAGUCGAACGCUGAAGCUUGGUGCUUGCACCGAGCGGAUGAGUUGCGAACGGGUGAGUAACGCGUAGGUAACCUGCCUCUUAGCGGGGGAUAACUAUUGGAAACGAUAGCUAAUACCGCAUAAAAGUCGAUAUCGCAUGAUAUUGAUUUGAAAGGUGCAAAUGCAUCACUAAGAGAUGGACCUGCGUUGUAUUAGCUAGUUGGUGAGGUAACGGCUCACCAAGGCGACGAUACAUAGCCGACCUGAGAGGGUGAUCGGCCACACUAGGACUGAGACACGGCCCAGACUCCUACGGGAGGCAGCAGUAGGGAAUCUUCGGCAAUGGGGGCAACCCUGACCGAGCAACGCCGCGUGAGUGAAGAAGGUUUUCGGAUCGUAAAGCUCUGUUGUAAGAGAAGAACGAGUGUGAGAGUGGAAAGUUCACACUGUGACGGUAACUUACCAGAAAGAGACGGCUAACUACGUG
rnacentral:rRNA from 1 species